rnacentral:rRNA from 1 species
UUCGCAAUGCCCGAAAGGGUGACGAAGCGACGCCGCGUGGAUGAAGAAGGCCUUCGGGUUGUAAAAUCCUGUCAGGAGUUAAGAAAUAUAAGUUUGAUAAUACCAAAUUUAUUUGACAAAGGCUCCAGAGGAAGCCACGGCUAACUCUGUGCCAGCAGCCGCGGUAAUACAGAGGUGGCAAGCGUUGUUCGGAAUUAUUGGGCGUAAAGAGCACGUAGGUGGAUUUGUUAGUCAGAUGUGAAAGCCUUUCGUUCAACGGAAGAAUUGCAUCUGAAACUACAAACCUUGAGUAUAGGAGGGGAGAGUGGAACUUCUGGUGGAGCGGUGAAAUGCGUAGAUAUCAGAAGGAACGCCGGCGGCGAAAGCGACUCUCUGGCCUAUAACUGACACUGAGUGUGCGAAAGCUAGGGGAGCAAACGGGAUUAGAUACCCCGGUAGUCCUAGCCGUAAACGAUGGGCACUAAGUAGAGGGGUUUU